GUCGGUGACCCAUCGGACUCUUGCGAGGACCGACGUAUCUACACGGACGGGAGUUAACACUCCUUCGACCUUCGACGACACAUCGGACCCUUACCAGGACCGGUGUAUCCAUAUCAACGGGGGUUGCACUCCUUCGACUUUCGACGACGCAUCAGACCCUUAAAAGGGCCGAUGCAUCUGUUUUAACGAGAGUUGACACUCCUUCUACGAUCGAACUUUCGGGCCAGAGACCAUCGGCUAACAAGCCGAUCGAGCCCCGACCAAAGAAAGGUGAAAUGCCUACGCGACCGAUGUCGCGACUCCCGACCGAGCUACGGCCGGUCGAAGGAUAUUCGGCUUACCACCGUCUAUCGCACGACGCGACCUUUGUCGCAUUGGCGACUUACCGACCGGGCUACGGCCGACCGGACGAUAUUCGGCUUACCACCGUAUAUCAAAAGGCGCAGCAUGAAUACCCAACACAAGGGCAUCAGAAUUCGACUUGUCGUCGUUUCCCUGACUGAAUGCGCCGGACGACAUUCGAACGCGUCAGUGGAGGCCCGACGAUCGAACCUUUAUCACGGUCGAUCGGCUGCCGACUCAACAGACGCGCCCGACUGAUGACCUUGACUAUCAGAAGCCGAUCCAAAGUCGGGACUUACCCCACCUUCGUAGUAGCACGAGUUACCGAACGUCCUACCGACUUAUGUGAGUUAGCGACUUACAUAAGUUAGCGACUCACGAAGGCAUUCAACCAUACAUUUGAAAGAAACAGACAGAGAAAAAAGUGGAAGAAGUUUUCAUUCAAAGUUGAAAGAAU
rnacentral:lncRNA from 1 species